rnacentral:snRNA from 1 species
GUGCUCCCCUCAGCAGCACAUGUACUAAAAUUGGGACGAUACAGAGAAGAUUAGCCUGGCCCCUGCACAAGGAUGACACACAAAUUAGUGAAGUGUCCAUAUUUUUG